CUUCGUCCUUCUUCUUCACAUUAUUCGGAAAGAGAGACCUUAUCUUUGGGGGCUGGCUGCCUCAGUCUGCAAGUUGACAUCAACUCAAAAGGCAAAGCAGAAGAACACGAACAACCGACAGAAAAUAUUCUGAGGAAAAAAGUUUUACAUUUUCUAUCUUUCCAAUCACUCUUCACACGCACGAACACCAACUCGAAAGCUGCUGCCUAACAUCAUCAAUCAUCAUCCAACUUGCCAACAUGUGUUCCUUUGCUGCAUCUCUAAACCUUGACAAUUGUCUCCUGGCUCCUCCUCUAUUUCUCUAAGUCGGUUCAGGCUUGUUACCGUUUUUGGAUUUUUACUUGUAAAAUGAAUCACUAUGUUCCCGAUUUCAAACUGGACGAAGACUGCGCAAUUCCCACUUCUCCAACCUUAACUCGCCCUAAAAAAUCAAUCACGUAAACCGCCUCUCUCUAUUUCUAUUUUCUUCCAUGAAAUUAUUCGUUUCUGAAUCCUAACGAUUUGAAAUUGAUAGGUCGGAGGACGAGAUCAUGGAACUGCUAUGGCAGAACGGCCAGGUGGUCGUCCAGAGCCAAACCCAAAUGUCUCUUAAGAAAUCCCAGCACCACAAAUACGACAACACUGUGCUUCCCAUCGAACAAUCAACCCCCAGGGAGAUCCGAUCGUCACAUGAACAACAGCAGCAUCUUUUAAUGCAAGAGGACGAGAUGGCUCCUUGGCUUCAUUACCCUCUCAACGAUACUAAUUUCGACCAAGAUUUCUGUGCCGAUCUCCUCUAUCCUUCCACUGCCUGUGUCACUUCCACUACCACAAAUACCAGCGCCGCUCCCAUACGUUCAACUCACAAUCCAGAGGCUCGCCUACACCCGGCGGUUUCUGCUGCUACUGCUACGGCUACAGCAACGAAUACAGCUACGGCUUCCAGACCUCCAAUACCACCGACGAGGAGAGCGGAGGUGGUGCAGAACUUCGCCUACUUCUCCAGACAUAGAGCGAGGGGCGGCGUGUCAGAAUCAGGGCCGUCAAAUUUGAAAACCGUGUUGAAGGAAUCGACGGUUGUGGACUCUAGUGAUACACCAGCGAUGGUGUCUGAAUCUAGAAUUUCGGAGGCGGCGUUCGCGAGGAGUACUGCCGGUGUAUCCAGCGGCGAUAAUGCGUGCGGGAUCAUGAGCGGCGCUGCAGUAGCUGGUACCUCUUCCCGGGGAGGUGGGAGUAAUAAUAAGGAUUUGAUAACGUGCGAGAUGACUGUGACUUCGUCCCCCGGUGGCUCCAGCGCCAGCGCCGAACCGCCGUCUCAGAAGCUGGCGACGGAUGACAGGAAGCGCAAGGGAAGGGAGGAUGAGACGGAGUAUCACAGCGAGGAUGUUGAGUUUGAAUCUACUGAUGCAAAGAGACAACUACGCGGAUCAACAUCUAUGAAAAGAUCUCGUGCUGCUGAAGUUCACAACCUGUCAGAAAGGAGACGGCGAGACCGGAUAAAUGAAAAGAUGAGGGCUUUGCAAGAGCUUAUACCUCGAUGCAACAAGGUUAUGUAUAUUUUAGUAGGCUUUGAAGAUCUCUUCUUCUUCUCCUCAAGUUUUGUGUUCAUUUGAUUUGCAGUCAGACAAAGCUUCUAUGUUAGACGAGGCAAUUGAGUACCUGAAAUCACUUCAGUUGCAAAUACAGGUAAUAUUUCCUAUUUAAUUUUGUCAUGUGGUUUUAUUGGAUAUUGUUUGACAUAACUCCACCUCCAAUAAUGAUCUUAAUUUUUAGGAUUAUGAAGUCUUAAAUUCUUAAUUAAUCAUUUGCACUGAGCUCCAGCUUUUAUCCUGUUUUUGCAUUUUAAGUUAUAUUACAUGCCUUGGAAAUAUUGCAUUGGAAAUAUUGUAUGUUUUAUCAACAUCACCAUCACGAAUUUAAAGAUGAUGAGUUUAGUGAGCCACAUUCAGAAUGCCUCAUUCAUGUCCACCCACCAAAUGCAUUGUGAAAGUUUUCUUGUACGUGAUAAUUCCAAGCGGAAUUAAGGAAAUGAUGGUCAUGCUUUUGCUAAACCUCAACUAGCUUGUAACUCAAGGUUGAGCUGUUUGUAAUUUUGUUGUUUACCUGCUUUAUGGAGAAACUUUGGUUAUGAUUUGGUUUUUCUUGUUAGUGCGGGAUGAAUGUUGAAUUCAGCAUCUAUCUUUGUGUUUGUGGAUGCUUUUUUGAUGAAGGGUAUAAUUUUUAACAAAUAAAAGAUACAGUGUCAUAAGUGGAUGCUUUGCAGCAAGUCCUCUGUUUGUAUGGCAAGGCCAGGCAACACACAGGCCAAUCUAAAGGCGUCUUUCAUAAAUGAAGUUUGAUAAAUAUUGCAACUCGAUGAAUGUUAGAAAAGAGUUUCAUCAAAUAAUAAAAGCUUUGGGGAAUGCUUGAGUUUUGAGAUAGCCAUUUGGUACAAAAUCAGUGGAGUAGGUCUGCUCCAAAUUCUUCCUCCAUGAAUCAAUGCUUUUAUAGCUACAAUUGGAUAUUGUCCUUUAGAAUUGAAAAUCUGUAUUGGAGAAAAACUCAAGCACAAUCCUUGCCUACAUUGACUAGCCAUUCAAUAUGCUCCCCUCAAGGUCUGUUGUUUAACGGAGUAUAUUGUUCAAGAUAUUCAUCAAGCCUGUUCUAACCAUGAUACUUGAUUUGAACUUCGAAUUGUCUUCUAGUAUGAUUGUAUGAAAGAUUAUCAAUCUUGCAUACACAAAUUUGAGCAUGGCAUGCUUUUAUAUCUUUAUGAAAGGAAAAUUCUGAGGUUAUGCAUUAUCUACGACAAAAUUAGAUUGGAAUUAAUCUCCACAGAUGAUGUCCAUGGGAUGCAGCAUGGUCCCAAUGAUGUUUCCUGGCAUCCAGCAGUAUAUGCUGCCAUUGGGGAUGGGAAUGGGGAUGGGCAUGGGAACGGAAAUGGGCAUGAAUCGGCCUAUGAUGCCAUUUCCCAAUGUUCUAGCUGGUGCACCCAUGCCUACACCGGCUGCAGCAGCUCAUUUGGGUCCAAGGUUCCCUAACCCAACUUUUCAUAUGCCCACUAUCCCUGCACCAGCCCCUGAUCCAUCCAGAAUCCAAGCAACAAACCAGUCAGAUCCCAUGCUAAGCGCAAUAGGCACACAGAAUCCAAACCUGCAGCAUCGAGUACUAAAUUUUUCUGAUCCUUAUCAGCAGUACCUUGGUCUGCAGCAGGCGCAAACGCCAGUAUCACAGGUAGUAUAUUAUUUUUCCUUCAAACCUUCUCAUUUUCAUCUAAGCAAAAGCAUGAUGUGUUGUCCUUAUGACACUUGCCACUGUUGUGUUGCAUCCUAUUGUUAUCUGCAAGGAAUUUGCACUUGUGCGUGCAUGAUGUAUUUUCUAUAUUAUUUUAAGAGCUGCUAAUUUUCAGGGUUGAGCUAAGGACAUGUCUAGGCUGGGCUGAUAUAGAACUUCCCAAUUCAUUUCCAUUUUUCUCGAUCUGUUUAUAUUUUUAGAUAUAAUUACAUAUUUCUGCUGAAUUUAUUUUAAGCCAUCUCAUCACCUAUCAUUUAACGAGAAUUAUUAGUUGAUACUAAUUACAUCUGCUCAUAUCUACAGAACCAAGCAAAGACUCGGCCAAUCACCAGCAAACCAGGUACCAGUCAAGCAGCUGAGAAUCUUGAUAAUCACCAGUC
rnacentral:misc_RNA from 1 species